CGGGGCGUGGCCAAGUCUGGUAAGGCGCUGGCUUUGGGAGCCAGAGAUUCCGUCCGUUCAAAUCGGACCGUCCCGACCA
rnacentral:tRNA from 1 species